GCUGAGGUGUGGCAAGUUCAAUCUAUAGCUCUAAGAGCAGCUUUCUUAUUUUUCCGGCGUUUGCCCACUGAGUAUGCUGUACUCAUGCCCUGCAUGUAUUUCUAAAUGUGCAGGAUAAGCGAGGAGUGAGAUUGGUCUGGUGCUGGUGGGGAACUGUUUCAAUCGAUGUGUUUACAUUACCGUAUUUUCUUCUUGUUGAUAGAGUCUUGAUGUGG
rnacentral:lncRNA from 1 species